rnacentral:rRNA from 1 species
AUGGCAGCCAAGGUGCUCCAGCUCCGCAGCGCCGAUGGCAAGGUGCUCGUCGCUCCGGCGUGGGACUCUCGCCCGGCCGCCGCCCAAGCCCGCCCGCUGGAGAUGCGGGUGCCCUCGCGCGCCCUCGAGAGGGUGCUCCAGUACUGGACCAAGCACAGCCUGGCCAAGGCCACCGGUGAGUCCCGGGAGUCCCUCGCUCGCUGGGACGCCGACUUCCAGCGCCGUCUCGAGGAAGACGGCCUCGCCAAGGAGGCCGCCGCAGCCGCCCAAGAACUCCGCCGCUACGGCGUCGACCAUGGAGGGCGUCCCAGUCGCCACGCCGCCACGGCCGCAUCUGUCGCUGCUCCUGCCAAGGCGGCCCGUGGUGAUCCCGUCCGUGUCUGGUGUGUCAACCACGAAGAACGCAGCCAUGCGCCGGCGAUGCCCGGCUCCGUCGUUGCCUCUGAUAUUGCCUCCGCCGCGCGCCCUGGGCCUGCCACCACCUUGCCGGCUGCUGCUGGUGCUGACCCCGUGGAUGUCCGGUGCGCCGUCCGUGCCCGUGGACGCCAGAUGGCUGAAGACGAGGAGUCCGCUUGCCACCACCGCAAGCGCCCGGCUUCCAAGGCUCCACUCUGCCUGCCUGCUACUGCUGUUGCGCCCGUGAAGAAGGUCUCUCGUCCCGUCGCUUCCAAGGCUCGCUCUUUCGUCGGCUCGACACCAUUGCCAGUCACUGCUGCUGUGCCCAGUGUGAAGAAGGCGACUCCAGCUUCAACUCUGCGCGCAAGAAGGGGAAUGGGGGAGCUCAGCUGCAAGGUUCCGAAGCAAAACCGUGUCACCGCUGCAGCACCAAUGAAGCAACCAAUUGCUUGGCUGCGUCCAGUGGUAUUACGCCCUUGCUAG